AAGCCCAUUUCCGGAACACAAAGGGGUAAAAGAAAGCUAGAAGAAACAGAAAGAAGAUUAUCAGGAGACCUUUUCGUAUAGAAGACGGAAUAGACAAUGAGAAGCCCAUCCAAAUGGCAGGAGAGCUGAUGGGCAGAAUGGGGAGAACAUUAACCCCAAAAUAUGUCACUUUGGUAUUUGAGAAAAUAGCAGAAGCAGGAAGGUCUCUGACUGGUCCUUCUCCUCUGCCUGAAGUUGGUCAUAAAAUACUCAUAACAAAGGUAGCUUCCCUACACUAAGAGGAAAGAAACAUCCUUAUUUUCGAAGACUCAGAGAUGUCAAGAAGAAUCUGAA
rnacentral:lncRNA from 1 species